rnacentral:tRNA from 1 species
AAAAAUUUAGUUAAUUCUUUAUAACUUUAGUUUGUCAAACUAAAAUAAUUUAUUUAUAAAUAAUUUUUA